rnacentral:rRNA from 1 species
AGACGAACCGUCCAAACGUUAUUCGGAAUCACUGGGCUUAAAGGGUGCGUAGGCGGUCCGGCAAGUUGGGUGUGAAAGCCCUCGGCUCAACCGAGGAAUUGCGCCCAAAACUGCCGGGCUUGAGGGAGACAGAGGCGAGCGGAACUUGCGGUGGAGCGGUGAAAUGCGUUGAUAUCGCAAGGAACAUCAGUAGCGAAAGCGGCUCGCUGGGUCUCUUCUGACGCUCAGGCACGAAAGCUAGGGGAGCGAACGGGAUUAGAUACCCCGGUAGUCCUAGCUGUAAACGAUGAGCACUGGGUCGGAGACUCCUCCAUAGGUUUCCGGCCGUAGCGAAAGUGUUAAGUGCUCCGCCUGGGGAGUAUGGUCGCAAGGCUGAA